rnacentral:rRNA from 1 species
UGGGGAAUAUUGGACAAUGGGCGAAAGCCUGAUCCAGCCAUGCCGCGUGUGUGAAGAAGGUCUUCGGAUUGUAAAGCACUUUAAGUUGGGAGGAAGGGCAGUAAGCGAAUACCUUGCUGUUUUGUCGUUACCGACAGAAUAAGCACCGGCUAACUCUGUGCCAGCAGCCGCGGUAAUACAGAGGGUGCAAGCGUUAAUCGGAAUUACUGGGCGUAAAGCGCGCGUAGGUGGUUCGUUAAGUGGAAUGUGAAAGCCCCGGGCUCAACCUGGGAACUGCAUCCAAAACUGGUGAGCUAGAGUAGGGCAGAGGGUGGUGGAAUUUCCUGUGUAGCGGUGAAAUGCGUAGAUAUAGGAAGGAACACCAGUGGCGAAGGCGACCAGCUGGGCUCAAACUGAAACUGAGGUGCGAAAGCGUGGGGAGCAAACAGG